rnacentral:rRNA from 1 species
AUUGAACGCUGGCGGCAGGCCUAACACAUGCAAGUCGAGCGAGCGGCGGACGUGUGAGUAAUGUCUGGGAAACUGCCUGCUGGAGGGGGAUAACUACUGGAAACGGUAGCUAAUACCUCAUACCAUCAGAUGUGCCCAGAUUGGAUUAGCUAGUAGGUGGGGUAACGGCUCACCUAGGCGACGAUGCAUAGGUGGUCUGAGAGUAUGACGAGCAACACUGGAGCGGGGACACGGUCCAGACUCCGAAGGGAGACAGCAGUGGGGAAUAUUGCACAAUGGGCGCAAGCCAAUUGUGGGCAAGCCGCGUGUGUGAAGAACGCCUUCGGGUUGUAAAGCACUUUAAGCGGGGAGGCGUUACCCGCAGAAGAAGCACCGGCUAACUCCGUGCCAGCAGCCGCGGUAAUAC